UUGGAGGGCAAGUCUGGUGCCAGCAGCCGCGGUAAUUCCAGCUCCAAUAGCGUAUAUUAAAGUUGUUGCAGUUAAAAAGCUCGUAGUUGAAUUUCGGGGUCAGUAGGCUGGUCGUGCCACAGGUAUGUACUGGUCUCACUGAUUCCUCCUUCCUGAUGAACCGUAAUGCCAUUAAUUUGGUGCUGCGGGGAAUCUGGACUGUUACUUUGAAAAAAUUAGAGUGUUUAAAGCAGGCUAACGCUUGAAUACAUUAGCAUGGAAUAAUGAAAUAGGACGAUCGAUCCUAUUUUGUUGGUUUCUAGGAUUGACGUAAUGAUUAAUAGGGAUAGUUGGGGGCAUUAGUAUUCAAUUGUCAGAGGUGAAAUUCUUGGAUUUAUUGAAGACUAACUACUGCGAAAGCAUUUGCCAAGGAUGUUUUCAUUAAUCAAGAACGAAAGUUAGGGGAUCGAAGACGAUCAGAUACCGUCGUAGUCUUAACCAUAAACUAUGCCGACUAGGGAUCGGAUGAUGUUAAUUUUUUAAUGACUCAUUCGGCGCCUUACGGGAAA
rnacentral:rRNA from 1 species